AACGAACGCUGGCGGCACGUUUUAGGCAUGCAAGUCGAACGGCAGUGGGGGCAACCCCAUGAGAGUGGCGAACGGGUGAGUAACACGUAGGUGAUCUGCCUUUGGGUUGGGGAUAGCUUGUGGAAACACAGGGUAAUACCGAAUGAGCUGACGAGGCUUUGGCCAUGUUAGUAAAGGUGCUACGGCACCGCCUAGAGAGGAGCCUGCGGCUGAUUAGCUAGUUGGUGGGGUAAAGGCCUACCAAGGCGACGAUCAGUAGCCGGCCUGAGAGGGUGGACGGCCACACUGGGACUGAGACACGGUCCAGACUCCUACGGGAGGCAGCAGCUAAGAAUCUUCCGCAAUGGGCGAAAGCCUGACGGAGCGAUGCCGCGUGAUCGAUGAAGGUCGAGAGAUUGUAAAGAUCUUUUCCAACUGAGGAAUAAGUGGACCAGGGAAUGGGUUCAUGAUGACGUUAAGUUGGGAAUAAGCCCCGGCUAAUUACGUGCCAGCCGCCGCCGUAA
rnacentral:rRNA from 1 species